AAGUCGUAACAAGGUAUCCGUAGGUGAACCUGCGGAUGGAUCAUUAGAAAGAUUAUAUUUGAAGGUAGUGUGAACUGGUUAUUGUUUGUUGACGUAGUUCAAAUCUUUUGUACUACAAGGUCAACUUAUAUACUUUUACUACUAAAUUCAAAUGUGUCAUGUACACAAACAAAAGUUAUACAACUUUUAGCAAUGGAUCUCUUGGCUCUC
rnacentral:misc_RNA from 1 species